GGUUAAGCGACUAAGCGUACACGGUGGAUGCCCUGGCAGUCAGAGGCGAUGAAGGACGUGCUAAUCUGCGAUAAGCGUCGGUAAGGUGAUAUGAACCGUUAUAACCGGCGAUUUCCGAAUGGGGAAACCCAGUGUGAUUCGUCACACUAUCAUUAACUGAAUCCAUAGGUUAAUGAGGCGAACCGGGGGAACUGAAACAUCUAAGUACCCCGAGGAAAAGAAAUCAACCGAGAUUCCCCCAGUAGCGGCGAGCGAACGGGGAGCAGCCCAGAGCCUGAAUCAGUGUGUGUGUUAGUGGAAGCGUCUGGAAAGGCGCGCGAUACAGGGUGACAGCCCCGUACACAAAAAUGCACAUGCUGUGAGCUCGAUGAGUAGGGCGGGACACGUGGUAUCCUGUCUGAAUAUGGGGGGACCAUCCUCCAAGGCUAAAUACUCCUGACUGACCGAUAGUGAACCAGUACCGUGAGGGAAAGGCGAAAAGAACCCCGGCGAGGGGAGUGAAAAAGAACCUGAAACCGUGUACGUACAAGCAGUGGGAGCACAGAGCAAUCUGUGUGACUGCGUACCUUUUGUAUAAUGGGUCAGCGACUUAUAUUCUGUAGCAAGGUUAACCGAAUAGGGGAGCCGAAGGGAAACCGAGUCUUAACUGGGCGUUAAGUUGCAGGGUAUAGACCCGAAACCCGGUGAUCUAGCCAUGGGCAGGUUGAAGGUUGGGUAACACUAACUGGAGGACCGAACCGACUAAUGUUGAAAAAUUAGCGGAUGACUUGUGGCUGGGGGUGAAAGGCCAAUCAAACCGGGAGAUAGCUGGUUCUCCCCGAAAGCUAUUUAGGUAGCGCCUCGUGAAUUCAUCUCCGGGGGUAGAGCACUGUUUCGGCAAGGGGGUCAUCCCGACUUACCAACCCGAUGCAAACUGCGAAUACCGGAGAAUGUUAUCACGGGAGACACACGGCGGGUGCUAACGUCCGUCGUGAAGAGGGAAACAACCCAGACCGCCAGCUAAGGUCCCAAAGUCAUGGUUAAGUGGGAAACGAUGUGGGAAGGCCCAGACAGCCAGGAUGUUGGCUUAGAAGCAGCCAUCAUUUAAAGAAAGCGUAAUAGCUCACUGGUCGAGUCGGCCUGCGCGGAAGAUGUAACGGGGCUAAACCAUGCACCGAAGCUGCGGCAGCGACGCU
rnacentral:rRNA from 1 species